GACGAACGCUGGCGGCGUGCUUAACACAUGCAAGUCGAACGGAAAGGCCCUGCUUUUGUGGGGUGCUCGAGUGGCGAACGGGUGAGUAACACGUGAGUAACCUGCCCUUGACUUUGGGAUAACUUCAGGAAACUGGGGCUAAUACCGGAUAGGAGCUCCUGCUGCAUGGUGGGGGUUGGAAAGUUUCGGCGGUUGGGGAUGGACUCGCGGCUUAUCAGCUUGUUGGUGGGGUAGUGGCUUACCAAGGCUUUGACGGGUCGCCGGCCUGAGAGGGUGACCGGCCACAUUGGGACUGAGAUACGGCCCAGACUCCUACGGGAGGCAGCAGUGGGGAAUAUUGCACAAUGGGCGGAAGCCUGAUGCAGCAACGCCGCGUGCGGGAUGACGGCCUUCGGGUUGUAAACCGCUUCCGCCUGUGACGAAGCGUGAGUGACGGUAAUGGGUAAAGAAGCACCGGCUAACUACGUG
rnacentral:rRNA from 1 species